UUGGAGGGCAAGUCUGGUGCCAGCAGUCGCGGUAAUUCCAGCUCCAAUAGCGUAUAUUAAAGUUGCUGCAGUUAAAAAGCUCGUAGUUGAAUUUCGGGACCAUCAUGUCGGUCGUGCCUCGGUACGUACUGGUAUUGUUGGUUUCUCCCUUCUGACGAACCAUGAUGUCAUUUAUUUGGUGUUGUGGGGAAUCAGGACUGUUACUUUGAAAAAAUUAGAGUGUUUAAAGCAGGCUCACGCUUGAAUACAUUAGCAUGGAAUAAUGAAAUAGGACGUUUGAUUCUAUUUUGUUGGUUUCUAGGAUCGACGUAAUGAUUAAUAGGGAUAGUUGGGGGCAUUAGUAUUCAAUUGUCAGAGGUGAAAUUCUUGGAUUUAUUGAAGACUAACUACUGCGAAAGCAUUUGCCAAGGAUGUUUUCAUUAAUCAAGAACGAAAGUUAGGGGAUCGAAGACGAUCAGAUACCGUCGUAGUCUUAACCAUAAACUAUGCCGACUAGGGAUCGGAUGAUGUUAAUUUUUUAAUGACUCAUUCGGCGCCUUACGGGAAAC
rnacentral:rRNA from 1 species